AUGUUUGAUCCUGUUAUGGAUUUGAACCCGCAUAUUUUAUGCUGGAAUGUGAGGGGCCUUAAUUGCCCUGCCAAAAAGAAGGCAGUCCGGGAGUUUGUGACUUCGGUGCAAGUUAACCUAGUGUGUUUGCAAGAAACGAAACUAGAUGUAAUUGAUCCCUUCAUAAUUAUGCAAUGUAUUGGACCGUCCCUUGACGGCUUUGCUUAUCUCCCAGCGCAUGAAACUCGUGGUGGUAUCCUAUUGGCGUGGGAUAAAACGGUGAUGGACGUUGAUAACAUAAAACUUGACGGCAACUCGCUCACGGGCCUGGUGCACAAUAAAGAUGGGGCGGUUUGGUGGAUCACGGUGGUGUAUGGCCCCCAAGGGAAUGAGCUAAAAAUAAAUUUCCUGGAGGAGCUUAGGAGCAGGAGAGCUACUUGCCAGGGACCGUGGAUGGUUCUUGGUGACUUCAACAUGAUCCUACGUGCUUCGGAUAAGAAUAACACUAACCUCAAUAGGACGAUGAUGAGGAAGUUCCGGGAUUUUGUGGACGAGCAUGAACUGAAAGAGCUUUACCUACAUGGGCGCAACUUUACGUGGAGCAAUGAGAGAGAUGCACCGGUGAUGACUAAAAUUGAUAGGGUUCUGGUGUCUGUUGACUGGGAGCUGCAUUUCUCUGAUAGCUUGCUACAAGCUCUAUCAACAAAUGUGUCAGAUCAUGCGCCUUUGCACUUGUCCACAAGUGCACAAUUCUGUCCUAAAAGGAGAUUCCGGUUUGAGAUUUUUCGGACUAAGCUUGAUGGAUUCCUGGAGGCGGUCCAGGAGGCUUGUGUAUGCGAUGACUCGAUCACGGAUCCUUUCAAACGACUGGAUGCACUUCUCAGGAACACGGCCGUGUUUUUGCAAGCCUGGGGACAGCGAAAAGUUGGUAACAUCAAAUUGCAAAUCGCAGUGGCCAACUAUGUGAUACUUCGGCUAGACAGAGUCCAAGAGUUCAGAGCUCUAUCUCCCGAGGAACUGUGGCUUAGACGUAUGCUUAAGUUGGCAGUCCUGGGAUUGGCGUCUCUGGAAAGAACGAUCGCGCGUCAGAGAUCAAGGAUUAGAUGGUUGAAAGAGGGAGAUGCCAAUACAAAACUUUUUCAGAUUGUGGCCAAUGGGCGACGUGCAAAUUUUUUUAUCCUCAAGGUUAAGCAAGGAGAGGAGAUUGCCACAGAGCAGGAGCGCAAGGGGCAGAUCUUUACGGAAGCUUAUGAGGAUCUGCUGGGAGCGUAUAGCGCUAGAGACGAUAGCAUAGACCUAGACUUCCUGAAUAUUGAGGGAUGCGAUCUGCAAGAACUAGAAGACAUUUUCACGGAAGAGGAGGUGUGGAAUACCAUCAGAGAAUUGCCAUCGGAUCGAGCACCGGGACCGGACGGUUUUAUUGGCGCUUUCUAUCAGCGGGCCUGGCACAUCAUCAAGCGGGAUGUUAUGGCAGUUUUGAUGAAGCUGUAUGUUGGUGACGGCCGUGGAUUUGGUAAGUUGAACAGGGCACACAUCGUACUCAUUCCGAAGAAACCGGACGCGGAGGAAGUUGGGGACUUCCGCCCCAUUAGCCUGACGCAUAGUGCGGCGAAGUUGUUUGCUAAGAUGCUCGCUCUACGGGCUAGAAAGAGGAUGAAGGAGGUGGUGGCAGCAAACCAGUCGGCCUUCAUACAAGGGCGGAACUUGCACGACAAUUUUUUGCUGGUGAGGCAAGUGGCGAGAAAGAUCCAGGAAAGAAAAGAACCAGGGGUGUUCCUCAAGCUCGACAUCUCGAGAGCGUUCGACUCCUUAUCUUGGCUUUUCCUCUUUGAGGUCCUGAGACAAAAAGGGUUCGGCGCCAAGUGGAUUGGGUGGAUCUCGAUCCUCCUUAGAACGGCAUCUACGAAGGUGGUGGUCAAUGGUGUACCUGGUAAAAGUGUGAUUCAUGCUUGCCGCCUCAGGCAGGGAGACCCGGUCUCACCCCUGCUGUUUGUGAUUGCCAUGGACGUUCUUACACAUAUCUUCAGGAAGGGUGCAGAAGAGAGAGUUCUAAGCUCAUUUAGGGGAAUAACACCAAUGCAAAGAGUCUCCAUAUAUGCGGAUGAUGUUGCUCUCUUCAUUAGACCAAUCGAAGGGGACCUGAACUUUGUCAGGAGUGCACUUCAGGCGUUUGGAAGAGCCUCGGGACUGUCCGUGAAUUACAGCAAGUCGUCGGCCAUCCUUAUCCGUGGCUCUGAGCAGGACCAGUCCCGUGUUGAGGCGUUGCUGCAAUGCAACAUUGCUGAAUUCCCAUGUAAGUACCUUGGGCUACAACUUGCUAUCCGGCAAUUAACACAUGGGGAAUGGCAGCCGAUCUUGGACAAGGCCAAGAAGCUUGUUCCGGCUUGGCAGAGGGGGCUAAUUCAAAGGCCGGGCCGGCUCGUCCUGGUGAAAUCGGUCAUGGCUGCUAGGCCGGUGCAUCAUCUCAUGGUCAUGGAUGCUCCGAAGUGGGUUUUUGAAGAGCUGGAUAAAUGGAUGCGAGCAUUCUUUUGGACAUCAGAGGAGAAGGUUAAUGGAGGAAACUGCCUUGUCGCUUGGGAUACAAUCUGCACACCUGUGUGCUUUGGAGGGCUCGGCGUCAAGAACCUGGAGUUGCAAGCAUUGGCACUCCGAGUUAGGUGGGAAUGGCUACGGAGAACAGACCCUGACAGGCCGUGGCAGAAGCUACAUAUGGUUGUUGAUAGAGAAGCACGACAAGUAUUUGACAGUCUGGUUAGCAUAACGGUGGGAAACGGAGCCAAAACUCUAUUUUGGAGAGAUAGAUGGCUGCAUGGCUUGGCCAUCGUAGAUAUUGCACCACAGAUCCAUGAUAUGGUGGACACUCGGACACGAAACCGGCGCACGGUUCAGCAAGCCUUGGAGGAUAACAGUUGGGUCCAGGAUGUGGCGGGAGAACUCAGCUUCACAGGACAUAUCCAAUUCCUAAACCUAUGCCACGCCAUCGCUACGAUACAUCGAGAUGAUAGCUCCCUUGAUACGUUUGCGUGGCCGGCGGAUGCUUCGGGACAAUACUCGGCCCGAUCAGUUUACUACAUGCUCUGCCAAGGGAGGGAGAGAGUUCCUUACGCCUCGUGCAUCUGGAGGAGUUGGGCGCCGUUGAAAUGUAAAAUCCAUGUCUGGCUCACUAUCCAGCAUCGGAUCUGGACCUCCGAUCGGCGAGCGCGACAUGGACUACAAGAUCACCCCUCGGCCUGCUUCACGUGCCUGCAAGAGGAGGACAAUGCAGAACACAUACACUUACAAUGCUCUUACGCUAGACAGGUGUGGCACAAGUGCAUCGUCGGGUUGAACUUGGAGGUGGCUCACCCGCUUGGGCAGGAUAGCUUGUUGGAUUGGUGGCUACAAGCUAGAAGAAACUUCAUGCGGGCUGCAAGUAGAGGAUUCAACACGUUCGUAAUCGCAGUAACUUGGUCUCUAUGGAAGCAGAGAAACGCGAGAGUCUUCAACCGGAUAAAUCAACAAAAAACCGUGGAUGAGCUACACAACCACAUCAUGAUUGAGAUCAAAAAAUGGAAGGAAGCCGGACUAGGUGUAGGUGUGUUAGACCGAUUUGUGAGAGAGUAG
rnacentral:rRNA from 1 species